AUGUCAAACAACCGCCGAGGGGUAGCUCGAGCCCAGCAUUCCCCUCCACCCGUUUCAGUUCCUCAGGUGCGAGGGGUUGGUGUUCAGCUGGUGCCAGCACCCAUUUCUGUGUCAGCUGGAGGCUCAGGUGAGCCUUUCCAGCAAUUUUUCUCGUGUUCAGAAGGCUCAGGAGGAUUAGCUCAGUCACCAUCUCAACCACCAUCACGACAACCUUCACAGCAGCCACCUGUAGCCCAGUCACCUACUCCACCACCGCUUUCAUCUCACGUUCAGUCACCUGUAGCUCAGUCUUCACCCCAGCUACCCAUAGCUCAGGCUCUACCUCACUCAGACUUUCUGCAGACUUUAUUACAGUCCAUAACCCAGUCAGUAGCUCAGUUAAUGGAGGAAUCAUUAGCAUUGUCAACUGCUCAGUCACUCACUCGUCUUCACCCUCAGCCAGGGGUCUCAAUUGCCUCUGGUCCUGCAUCUGCUCCAGCUGGAGGGCCUGAGGAGCCCGUCCAGCCUCCAGUUUCGUCUGCUGGGGGUUCGGGAGAGCCCAGCCAGCCUCAAGUUUCGUCUGCUGGGGGUUCGGGAGAGCCCAGCCAGCCUCAAGUGUCGUCUGCUGGAGGGCCCGAGGAGCCCAGCCAGCCUCAAGUGUCGUCUGCUGGAGGGCCCGAGGAGCCCAGCCAGCCUCAAGUGUCGUCUGCUGGAGGGCCCGAGGAGCCCAGCCAGCCUCAAGUGUCGUCUGCUGGAGGGCCCGAGGAGCCCAGCCAGCCUCAAGUGUCGUCUGCUGGAGGGCCCGAGGAGCCCAGCCAGCCUCAAGUGUCGUCUGCUGGAGGGCCCGAGGGGCCCGUUCAGCCUCCUGUCUCCGCUGGAGGGCCCGAGGGGCCCGUUCAGCCUCCUGUCUCCGCUGGAGGGCCCGAGGGGCCCGUUCAGCCUCCUGUGUCGUCCGCUGGAGGGCCCGAGGGGCCCGUUCAGCCUCCUGUGUCGUCCGCUGGAGGGCCCGAGGGGCCCGUUCAGCACCACACCUCGUUAGCUCAGGGUCCUGGAGGACCCAGACAGCACAUCCUCCCGUCUGCUGGCGGUCCGGGAGGCUGUUCAGCCAUCACCGGCUGAAUCAUCCCCCGCGACAUCUACAUCCACGCUGCAGCCGCAGCUUCAUCCACGCCUGCAGCCGCAGCUUCAUCCACGCCUGCAGCCGCAGCUUCAUCCACGCCUGCAGCCGCAGCUUCAUCCACGCCUGCAGCCGCAGCUUCAUCCACGCCUGCAGCCGCAGCUCAUCCACGCCUGCAGCCGCAGCUUCAUCCACGCCUGCAGCCGCAGCUUCAUCCACGCCUGCAGCCGUCUCGCUGCCGUCAGGUUCCGCAGCCGUCUCGCUGCCGUCAGGUCCAGCCUCUGGUCCAGUUCCGGCUCCGUCCACGCCUGGCCCGGCCUCCGGUCCAGUUCCGGCUCCGUCCACGCCUGGCCCGGCCUCCGGUCCAGUUCCGGCUCCGUCCACGCCUGGCCCGGCCUCCGGUCCAGUUCCGGCUCCGUCCACGCCUGGCUCGGCCUCCGUCUCUUCGUCCACGCCUGGCUCGGCCUCCGUCUCUUCGUCCACGCCUGGCUCGGCAUCCGUGACUUCGCCUUUGCCCUCGUCUGGUCCUGUGGUUGCCACACCGUCAUCGGUUCCGGCUCGUCCUGUAACACCUCGCCUCUGCCGGCCGCUUUCCAGGCCUCUAAUUGGGCGUCAUGGCCAUCGAGGCCGGCCUCCUGAGAGAGACCGUCGCCGCUGCUGGCAUCGCAGCCGACCUCCGGAUCUGCUCAGUGGCCGCCACUGCCUUCCACGUGGCCGGCCUCCUGAUUGGUUUUGCCUGCACCGCCGCCGUUGCCGUGUGCACGGUCGGCCUCCAGAACUGUUUGCCCGUUGCCGUGUGCAUGGCCGGCCCCCUGACCUGUGUUGGCUCCUGUGUGGCCGACCUCCGGGUCGACCUCCUGAACCUUUCCUGGACUCUUGUUGAGCUCUGGUUUUGUUUUGGUUUUGAUGUGCUUUCCUGUGUUUUUGAACUCUUGUGCUCCUUGUUUUUUGUUUGGUUUCUGUCCCUCCAUCCUGGGCCCCUCCACCCGCCCUGGCCUGGUGCUUUGUUGUGCUUUUUUGUUUAGGGUUGUCGGGAGCCAGCCCUUAGAGGGGGGGUACUGUCACGGUUCUGGGUCCGUCGGACCCAGUAUUUUGAGUUUAUUAUAUUUUGGUUUAAUUUUGCAUUAUGGAUUGUUUUCUUAUUCUCUUGUAGUGCUUGUGUUGGUGGUGGCGAUGAUGGUGAUGAUUAUUAUUAUUAUUGGAGUUUCAUGUUUCUGUUUUCGUGUUUUAGGAAUUGUGGUUUCACUUAUAGUUCAGUUCCAUGUGUCAUUUUCUGUCUGUCACUCUGAGUUCGUGUCUUUGAGUAGUGUUUCAUGUUCCUGUUUUAUUGUGAAGGUCUUUGUCUUAUGUUAGUGUGUGCAGCUUGGUUCCCCCGUCUCGUUAGCCCUGAUCCUCCCCAGCUGUGUCUCCCUCCUGUUGCGGAUUCCCUCAUUACCACCCUGUGUAUAUAAGCCCUGUGUUUUCCCAUGCCCGGUGUCGCGUCGUACCCUCAGAUUAUGCCUGUGUGUUUUUGGUUUCUGCAUUCAUGUCAUGUUUAGUUUUCACGUCAGCAAUAAAGCUGUGGUUUUGAUUCACAAUUCUAUGUUCGAGUCCUGCGCUUGGAUCCUCCUCUCCGCCUGCCCGCACACAGAGCCCUGACACAUAACGAGUGUGGCCUCUCUAAACAUCAGUAACUAAGAAAACAUGUAGGUAAAACAGUAGGUAUCCUACUUAUUACUGACUUAAUUAUUUGGGUUAUUAUUAUUAUUAUGCGGAAGCGAAUGGAUGGAUAUUAUUGUGCUUGGGUUUUUAGACUCUACCAGUUACACAGAUGUCUCUUCCUCUGAGCUGUUUAAAGGGGCAGUUUGGCCUUUUAAACAGCCCAGUUUAUCCAAAGCUGUGUAUAUACCAGAUGCUGUCAGGCUUCAAAUGUAUGCAUUCG
rnacentral:lncRNA from 1 species